AAAUGACAGUUGCGUUGAAAUGGUGUGCAAAAGACAGAAAAUAGCCAUAACGAAAGUGAAUAUAAUGGAAGGCGAAAAAGUGAAGUGUCAAAUGUGAAAACUUUGCAAAGGAACGAAAUAUUUCGCCGUGGCGACAUUAUAGUUGCAAAUUUCCUAAUGAAGCCGAAAUAAAAUAGUUAAAAACUUUUAAAGAAAAGUAGGCAAACACUCGAAAGUCAUAAUUAACAUCGUUGACCAACUGUUGGAAUUGUGCCAGACGUGUUAAACAAAUACAAUUAUUAAAAAAAAAAAAGAACAGCAUCGUUUUGUAAGCAAAAUAGAGUUUGAAGUAUCAACAAUUAAAUAAACGACGUAGAAAAUAUAAAGUACGUGCAUAAAGAUAUAUAAAAAAAUGUUUUGGGACAAAAGCUAUACACCGUCACAGAAUAUAGAGGCGCUAUUGGAGAAAGAGAAUGCUACUGUUGAGGAAUUUCUAGAUGAUGAUGAUAUCUUACUGGAGUGUAGAUCACAAAAGAAGUCUAUUGUUAAUUAUUUCACUCGACCUGAUGUAAUCAAACGCCUUGUUGAACUUAUUACAACAGAACCUUCUGAGGAUCUACCUUUGGCACAAAGAUAUCGCCAUGCGCAUAUGGCUUGUGAAAUUUUAACGCUCGGUUGGCCGUCCUUAGAUGAAAAACUGUUGUCUGAUGAGGAAAUAUUAAAAACGCUUUAUUCAUAUCUGGAAAAUGAACCACCGUUAAAUCCUUUGCUAUCGUCAUUUUUUAGCAAAACAUUUAGUAUGCUCUUCACAAAAAAGGCUGAACAAGAUUGGUUUUUGAAUCAACAAAUGUGCCUCCAACUCUUGGAAUACAUUAAGUCGCAAAAUAAUUUUUUGGAUUUGAUUUGUAAGCAUUUUUCCACACCCGUUAUACCCGAUUUGAUAAUGCAAAUGAUGAGAGAGGUUGAGGGACAAAUGAAACGGAAUGUAUAUGAAUGGCUCACUGAAGAUAAACUCGUCGAGAGACUGAUUGAAUUAAUUGGCAAUCCUCAAGAAACCGAAAAACAUGCAAAUGUUGCGGAAUUCCUCUGUGAUUUAAUACAACAAGGUCGUUCCAUGCGUUAUACAGAGCAGGAGAAUGACUCUUUUGAGCCCACAUUCGAUGGUUCGAAUCCAAUUUUGAAAUCGAUCGAAAGUGAGCGCAAUGUUGAAGCCUUGUUGAAUGUGAUUUUAGAACCAAACGCGCAUGAAAGCGCCGUCGUAUCAGGAAUAUCGGUUGUACUUAUGCUUUUAAAACCCGUGGUUUUUACUGAUGAACCCAAUUCCGAUCGUAUGAAAUUCAUACAAAAUCGUGAAAAAGAGAUUCGUGAACAAAUACUCUCUACUGUGAUUUGUGUCAUUGCACCGCGUCUUAAAGAUUUCAAUGAGUUACUUAGAAACCCGCCAAAUAAACCAGAAUUAGUGACUACAGCCGCUAAGUUAUCACAGCCGUUUGGCAUGACACGUUUGCAAAUUUGCCGUAUUUUUACAGUAUUAUUGCAGACUAAAAACGAGACAAUUUUAAAAGCUGUCUGUGAAACGGAUUUCUUUGAAACCUUAUUAACCCUCUUCAAGCAAUAUUGUUGGAAUAAUUUUUUGCAUAGCGAAGUUGAAAAGUGUCUUCAAUUAGUAUUUUAUACAAAACUCUCAAAUAACAAUAAUUCAAUGCAAGGCAGUACAAUUGUGAAUGACGGUUCAUUCAAUAAAACGGGAAACACUGCGGAGAAUACAUCGUUUUUCGAUUUCAUUUUCAAGUCUGACAAUAGCAAAGAUGAAAAUUUCGAAGCUAAUGAGGCAAGCAAAGCAAGUGCUGAGAAAGAUGAAAAACCCGUCGAUAAGGAAGAUGUCGAAAUGAAAACUGAUGAACAGAUUGGUGAUGGCAAAGACGAAAACGCAACGGAGGUGAAAACCGAAAAUACUGAAAUUACAGCAAAUGCUAAUGCUAUGGAAACGGAUGAUGGCGCCGUAGAAAAGUUGGCAGAAAACGAAGAAAAACCAACCGCUUCACAUGUUGAUGUGGAACACAAGGAGGGUGAGAUUAACGAGCAGAACAAAACCAAAGCGCAAACCGACAGUGGUCCGUCCGCAUUGCAAAAACACGUUAUUGAAAAUUGUAAGCUGAUUUCGAAAUUAAUUGACUGUUGGAAGUACAACACAGAAAUGGAGUCAGCCGAAAAAGGUCGUCGUCUCGGUUAUAUGGGACAUUUAAUAAAAAUAUUCAAACAUAUUACGAAUAGUAUAUCAGAAUCUGAACAUAUCGGUGCCUUAAUUGAGUGUAAUUUAAGUGAUGAGUUUGAGUUGAAAUUGUGGCAAUCAAUAAUAAAUCCAACUGAUGGUGAUCUAACAAAGGCCUUAGCCACGCAGAGUAAAAUGUUAGCGAAUUGUAAUGCCCACGAGGCGGGCGACUACAGUCCACAUUUAUCAAAAGAUUUUGAUAACAGCACUUGGGAUUAUAUUAUGUCAUCCAAUAUGAUCAACAAUCUUGGCUUCAGUGAUUCCGGUUCAAACGACAUAGUUUUUGCGCUUGAACAUGACAUCUAUCGCAAUAAUCUGCUCGAAAACGAUGAUAACGCCGAAAACGACCUUAAUUUGUUUCAGUUCGGUCGCAAUAUAGACGACGAUGACGAUGAGGAUGAUGAGAACAACGCUGGCGGUGCUGGCAGUGGCGGUGGCGGCGGUACCGGUUCCUCACUCUUCGGCAAGAGUGCUGUUUCAACAUCGGCUUUGCAAGCGUUCGGCGUGACCAACAAUCCGUGGGAUGAUAUGGAUCCAUUCAGCGAUCUAACUGCGAAUAGCAAUGCGACACCGUGGACAGCUGAUUUCAAUUCGGAUAAUUUUGCUGAUUUCGAUUCGCAUUUCAGUUCGUUCGCCAACGAUUUGGGUGAGAGUUUAGUGAGUGCGGCGUCGACAACUGCGACUCCAACUGCUGCGGUUAAAGAGAACAGCAACAACGGUGAUGGCAGCAAUAAUGGCAGUAGCGAUGCUACUGUUGGCGACGAUCACCAACAGCAACGUGCUACCACCGAUAACGGUACAAUUUUGAGUGGCAUCAGCCGCAGCAUUGCGCCAACGGUGGCCAAUAACAAGCCCGAAACGGGUUAUGAUAACAAUGCAAAUGUGGAGAAGAGCAUAACGUUGGUAACGCAGGAGAUUGGUGAAUUUGCUGAUGGCACCGAUGUGGCCGAUGAUGAUUUGGAUGUGUCGCAUGAGAAGGCCUUGGCCACAUCGUUGGUGCGCACGUUGCAAUCGGUGAUGCAGGACUCGGAGGAUGACUAUGAGGAUGAUGAGGGCAUGUGGACUAAGCCGCUGGGCGGCAGUGCUGUGGAUGCGCAUGACGAUGAGAGUGAUGACAGCGAUCACAAAUCGCAUGAGCUGCGUUUCACCAAUGGGCCGAGCAGCAAUGCAGUUCACGCAAAUGAUAAUACACAUAAAUUGUAAGCGCUUCUUUCGUCUCCUUAUUUCACUUUCUUCGAAUGCUCUAUCAUUGAACGCAACAAUGCCUGUGCCAACUCCAACUAUACAAGUAUAUUCAAUAAUAACACAUGCACUCGUUGCCUUACAAGAUUAGAUCAUUGAGUGUAAUUAGGCGCUUUUCUAACGCAGAGAAACAAAACUGAUGAUGAUGAAUCCAGCACAAUUGCAGCGGCGCAUAUCAAUGAUAAUGAAGACAGUGAAAAUGUACAAGUUGCCGCUUCGCUUGGCGAUACAAAACGCACAACAAACAGUUCCAUAUCACUAGACGCCAUCGCUGAUGUGGGCUGCAAUGCCACUGCAGUGGCUAAGACGUCAACGACUAGUAGUAAUGCUGCUGUGGAAAUUGCGCCAACAACAACAUAAACGAAAUUGUGCUGGCACACAACAAACACAUACAAACGAGAGAAAAUGUACACGCGCAUAUAUGUAUGUGUGUGUGUGUCUGUGUGUGUGUGGUAAACGCAAGCACUUACAUACAUACAUACAUACAUAUAAACUUAUACAUAGUAUGCAUAUAUUGAAAUAUAUAUUAUAAACAACAACAUUAAAAAAAAACAGAAAAAAAAAUCGCUCAAAGACAUGCAAAUACACUGCAGCAAAUUGAAAAAACAAAAAAACUUUUGUUGCGUCCAUUUGACGCUUCACGCCAAAGGUUGAGGUACCGCCCAUGUAUAAACUAACUAAUUCAAUCAACGUACAUACAUACAUACAUACAAACAUAUAAACAUACUCAAAGAAAUAUGCACGCAAAUGUACGUACGUCUACAUUGACGCUGCACAAAAUGGUAUUCUUAAAUUAAUUAAAAAUAAAAUAAAAAAAUAGUCAUAUAUAAGAAGCAAAGAAAAACACUAACCCCCCCCAAAAACGCCUAUAAACUGCAAUAUGUUGUGGUGAAAGUAAUAAUAACAACAACAACACUGUCAAAGUCCAUAGUCAAGGAGCGCUUGUACAACGUCUAUGCGGCCUUGGACCAAGUUUCAGCAAACGAAGAAUGAGAUACACCCACAAAAACACACACAUAACACUUCGCAACGAGUUCGUUUGAAACGAUCAACUGCUGCGGUGAUCUGGAAACUAACUUUAUAAUAUUUACAAAAUUAAACCAUGUAAUGUCAACAUGAAAAAGUGGAGUAAUGAAAACGAAAAAUCAUAACGAACUUACAAAAACAAAAAC